GGGAAAACGAAGGAAAAGGAAAAGGAGCGAAAGCAAAGGGAAAGGGAAAAGGAAGGAAAGGGAAAAGGAGGGAAAGGGAAAAGGAGGAAAGGGAAGGGAAAGGGAAAAUGAAGGGAGGGAAAAGAACGGAAAGGGAAAAGGAGGAAAAGCGAAGGGAAAGGGAAAAGGAGGAAAAAGGAAGGAAAGGGAAGGGAAAGGAAGGGAGGAGAAAGGAAAGAGAAAAGGAAAAAGGAGGGAAAAGGAAGGGAGAAGGAAAAGGAAGGAAAGGGAAAGGGAAAAGGAGGGAAAAGGAAAGGAGGAAAGGGGGAAAGACAGAAAAGAAAAGAGCAACCAGGGAUGUUCUGUUUGACAGGAGACGGGAUGUCAUUUUGAGAUCUUAAAGGGGAAGACAAAAAGGCUGAGCACUGUUCCGCGUAGAUCCAUUGUUUUUUUUUUAAACAAAGACUUAUUUGGGAAUUUUGGCCCCAAAGUGGCAGUUGGCUGUGAGUGAACCCAAAGCCUGGUCAAAGGAGACCUCAUUACGAACGAUAUUUGCGCUUACCAUUCCUUUGAAUUUGGCAAGACGAUGAAAGCAUCGCCUUCCCAACUCUUUGGUAAACCUUAGUCCAACUCGGCCAAAAAUUUUGAUAGCUUCCUGUUUGGCCAAGAAAGGAUUCCAAAAUCUCCCAAUUUCAACACUCAACCUAUAGAAGGGACCAGGAGAAACAGUGCCGGUUGUGUUUGAAACGGAAGGAGGAAACCAACCGAAAAGGAGAGGAAGGCAUGCAAACAAGUCAGAGGUUUCCAAAAGGGAGAGAAGGAAUGGGGAAGGGAUGAAGUUCCUGGGAAGAGAGAGAAGGAACGAGGAAAAGGAGAGAAGGAAAUGCUCAGAGGGCCGUUUUCAAAGGGCAAACCAAAGGCAGGGAGGGAUGUGAUGCAAACAAAAAGAUUGAGGGUGGAGACAAGGGAAGAGAUGGCGGAAAGAGGGGAAGGAAGGAAAGAAAGAACAGGUGGAAUACAACUGGGUAAAUCAUAGUUCAAACUGGGACAGUUAUGUGAAUCGGAGUCUGAAGGGAGCUCCAGUGGGAUUGAUAAGCUUGGAGAUGAUAAUGGACCCUCUCUAGGAAUAUCUAGGUCUUCCAGUGAGACUCUAUGGUCAACAUUGAAAGUUUUUGGGGAAGAAUGGCGAUGUUUGAGAAUUAGAAGGGGCUACAGGGUCUAGGGAUGGUGGGCUAUGACCAUUCCAGCUUGAGAAGAACCAUCCAAGGUGGUGGGUCUAUUGGAGCAACCCUUGGAGAAGAACCAUCCAAGGUGGUGGGUCUAUUGGAGGAACCCUUGGAGAGAGCAUCUAAAGCCUCUACUACAGUAGAAAGGGGAACCACCCAAACUUGAGAAGAACCAUCCAAGGUGCUGGGUCUAUUGGAGGAACCCUUGGAGAAGAACCAUCCAAGGUGUUGGGUCUAUUGGAGAAUCCCUUGGAGAGCUCCUCUAAAGCCUCUACUCAAACCUACAGUGGAAAUGUGAACCACCCAAACUUGGGAAGAACCAUCCAAGGUGCUGGGUCUAUUGGAGGAACCCUUGGAGAGCACCUCUAAAGCUUAUACUCAAACCUACAGUGGAUUCGCUGUCUCAUUCAAAUGGGAACCACCCCAGCUUGAGAAGAACCAUCCAAGGUGCUUGGUCUAUUGGAUAACUCCUUAGAGAGCAUUUCUAAAGCCUCUACUCAAACCUACAGUGGAUUUGAUGUCUCAUUCAAAUGGGAACCACCCCAGCUUGAGAAGAACCAUCCAAGGAGCUGGGUCUAUUGGAUAACUCCUUGGAGAGCGCCUCUAAAGCCUCUACUCAAACCUACAGUGGAUUUGAUGUCUCAUUCAAAUGGGAACCACCCCAGCUUGGGAAGAACCAUCCAAGGAGCUGGGUCUAUUGGAGAACCCCUUGGAGAGCACCUCUAAAGCCUCUACUCCAGUGGUUCUCAACCUGGAGUCUCCAGAUGUUUUUGGCCUUCAACUCCCAGAAAUCCUAACAGCUCAUAAACUGGCUGGGAUUUCUGGGAGUUGUAGGCAAAAAACAUCUGGGGACCACAGGUUGAGAACCACUGCUCUACUCAAACCUACAGUGGGUUCGCUGUCUCAUGCAAAUGGGAACCUCCCCAGCUUGAGAAGAACCAUCCAAGGUGCCGGAUCUAUUGGAGAACCCCUUGGAGAGCGCCUCUAAAGCCUCUACUCAAACCUACAGUGGAACCACCCCAGCUUCAGAAGAACCAUCCAAGGGGCUGGGUCUAUUGGAGAACUCCUUGGAGAGCAUUUCUAAAGCAUCUACUCAAACUUACAGUGGAACCACCCCAGCUUCAGAAGAACCAUCCAAGGUGCCGGAUCUAUUGGAGAACCCCUUGGAGAGCAUCUCUAAAGCAUCUACUCAAACCUACAGUGGAACCACCCCAGCUUGAGAAGAACCAUCCAAGGUGCUGGGUCUAUUGGAGAACCCCUUGGAGAGCAUAUCUAAAGCAUCUACUCAAACUUACAGUGGAACCACCCCAGCUUCAGAAGAACCAUCCAAGGUGCUGGAUCUAUUGGAGAACCCCUUGGAGAGCAUCUCUAAAGCAUCUACUCAAACCUACAGUGGAACCACCCCAGCUUGAGAAGAACCAUCCAAGGUGCUGGGUCUAUUGGAGAACCCCUUGGAAAGCAUUCUCUAAAGUUUCUACUCAAACCUACAGUGGAACCACCCCAGCUUGAGAAGAACCAUCCAAGGUGCCGGAUCUAUUGGGGAACCCCUUGGAGAGCAUCUCUAAAGCUUCUACUCAAACCUACAGUGGAACCACCCCAGCUUGAGAAGAACCAUCCAAGGUGCAGGAUCUAUUGGAGAACCCCUUGGAGAGCAUCUCUAAAGCUUCUAUUCAAACCUACAGUGGGUUCGCUGUCUCAUUCAAAUGGGAACUACCCCAGCUUGAGAAGAACCAUCCAAGGUGCCGGAUCUAUUGGGGAACCCCUUGGAGAGCAUCUCUAAAGCUUCUACUCAAGGUUCUACAAAGGUUCUACAGUGGAAAUAGGAACCACCAAAACUUGAGAAGAACCAUCCAAGGUGGUCGGUCUAUUGGAGAACCCCUUGGAGAGCAUCUCUAAAGCUUCUACUCAAACCUACAGUGGGUUCACUGUCCUGUUCAAAUGGGAGCAACCAGGUAGAAGAGGGCCAGGUAGGGAUGACGGGACUUUUAGUUUUACUUACAAAUACUAGAAGCAUCCGUCUUGUUGACGGGAAAGGAGAGGAGGAACGAAAAGCGUCUCACAGACCUGGUUGCAGGAGGAUGGCGGGUCCUUCUGCCCUCACUUCGGCUGGAAAGAAAACUCGGUGGACCCAUCAAAUCCAUUUCCUCCCCAUUGAUUUUCCUUAAGAGUAUUUUAGCUGUUAGUUUUGGGGAGAGGGGGUAAAAAGAAAGGGAAGUCGGGACCAGGCUUUAGGUUAAACCACAAACUGUCAAUCCAAGGUUGACAGUUCGAAGCCUGGGUCAGGGUGAGCUCCUGGCCUUUAGCCCAGCUUCCGCCAACCUAGUGGUUCGAAAGCAAAAAAUGUGUAUAGAUAAAUAGGUAUCACUUAAAACCGGGGGAGGUAUUUUAAGGAAUACCAGAAAAAUGCUAGUGAUUAGACCAAAAAAGGAAGACUUACGAAGAGGGAGAUAGAGCGAAUGAAUCAAGCCUCCGAGAUGCCGGAAGACGGGGAAAGCCUAUAUAUACCUCCUUCUAUGUACAACUGUCUGUAUAAAACGGCAUUGAAUGUUUGCUGUGUAUGUACGUUCUGUGAUCCGCUCUGAGUCCCCUUUGGGGUGAGACGGGCGGAAUAUAAAUACUGUAAAAAAGUAAAUAAUAAGUGUUGGCAGCGGAGGGGCAAAACAAUCCAUUUUGGGGGUGUACUCGGUCCCGUCAAACUCCGAUUCACAAGGAAAAGCCGACGUAGAAAAGGAGACUGCGGGGAGAACGGGAUCGUGGGGUGAGAGGAAAGCAAGAACGAAACGAACGGGAAAAAGAGAAAAGGUAAAACAGAAGGAAGGGGGGAUCGUUUGGAGUUUGUUUUUUUGUUGUCGUUGAAAUAAUACAACUGAAAUCAAUGAGUAAUAAUAAUAAUAAUAAUAAAGGAAGGGUGAAGUGACCAGUUGAAAGCACCAAACAGAAAACCAAAUGGUGUUAGAAAAAACAUUUGGACACCCGGCAAGCCGCUGCUCCGAAUGAGGUGAGAAGGCGGACAUUAUUGGCAUUUUGGCGAGACAGGAGUCCGUGUCCGUCUGGCUCCAAAAUGAGGAGGGGAGGGAGGAGGACAAAUGGGGAGCCAAAAUAAUGUGCAGCCUCAUUACAUUUGCCGCGAAGAUUAGAUUACACCUCUCUGUCCAUCGCGGUAGAGUCGAGCGGAUUGGGGAGGAAUAUUUUAUUCUGUUUCUCCCUUUCGCUUUUUGUCCUCUCCUUUUGUCACAGAACCGACUUCACCGCCAGCAUCCGAAUUUACGAAAUCAAGACAAUUAGACCCCCUCGGGUCGUUUUAACAGGACAAAUUGCCCCAAAACUAGCUAUUUUUUUCCCGUUUGGCAUAUACGCUCCUGUCUUUUUAAAUACAUAUAUAUAUAUAUAUAUAUAUAUUCUGCCUGAUGGAUCGUUUCAAAACUCCAAUUGGAUUCCCAGCGGCCCGGUGCCAACCUGGUAAUUUCAGACCCAGCGUUUCUUAAAAUAAAGAAUGUGACGAGGUGUAAUCUAAAAUUUUCCCUUCUAAAAACAAAAAAGAACAGCGAUGCAAAAAAAAGAAAAAGAAAAAAAAGGAAAAGGCAUAUAAGAAGACAUAAGCAGGCAGAAGUUUUCAAAACCACAAUAGCACAGUGUUCCUGCAGAGCACCCUUUUUUUUUUGUUUUUUUUGUCACAACGCGGUCCGACCCGGGUUCCCUGCGACUCUUGAGAAAUCCUUCUGCAGAAACAGAGUGUUAAUUCCGGUACGUUUUUCAAUAUUGUUUGCAAAAAAAAAAAAAAAGAUGUUCAAAAAUAGACCGAAACAGCAUUGGGUCUCCACUUAACCCUGGAACCAUAUUCUCUCUCUUUCUUUCUCUCUCUCUCUCUUUCGUUCUCUCUCUCAAUGGAAGGAGAUAUAGAGGAACCUUUUCCAAACUCGUUUUGCCCUUUGGUUCCCAAGUUCCAGAGCUCACUGCAGGAGAGAAAAGAGGAAGGUUGGCCGUUCAAGACCGGGUCGGGGUGAGCUCCUGCCAUCAGCCCAGCUUCUGCCUACCUAGCAGUUCGAAAACAACAAUACUCCGUCCAUAAAAGCAAGGCUGGCCAACAGAGAACUGCUUCUAGCUCUGGGCACCCAAUGCAAAGCCUUAUUGCAGAAGAUAGAGGCAAGGACGCAACUUCCAAGAUGGUGGCCGUUCCCAAGGAAGGAAGAGGCCGAAGCCUGGAGAAAAGGCAAGAUGCUGAGUUGACUGAAUGGAGGGACACAUUGAGUUGACUGAAUGCAAAUUAUCUCUGCAUUUCUGAACUCGUUGGAAUAUGCUGAGGACGAAAGCGGGAGGACGACACAGAAACUGGGACAUUUUAGUAGCAGCCAAACUGGGACUGUCCCUCUCAAACUGGGAUAGUCGGAGGCAACCCAGUCUGUUUUCUGGUGGCUUCCUCUCCGCCAUGAUUUGUUCCUCAAAUCAAUACGGCUCCAUAGUUUUGCGAAAAGGAAUGGAAAUCGUAGAAGAUGGUGGGAACCUCUCCGUCUUUCAGAGAAAGGCAGACAGAGAGAGAGAGAGAGAAAGGAGGAAGGAAGGAAGGCAAGAAGGAGGAAAGAGGAGGAAAGAGAAAGAGAAAGAGCGAGAGAGAGAGAGAAAAUAAUCAUGACAAAUGAGACAAGUCGCUGUCAAAAGUUGCACCGGAUUUCUCAAAUGAAUAAAGAAAACAAACAAAACUCCAAAUCACACAGCUUUAAUUUCCUGUAUUUCCCUUUCUUUCGGUCGAUAACCCAUUGCUAUCUGAAGAGAGGAUUUGCAAAUGGCUGGGCUCUAUAUAUACACUAGCUGUGCUCGGCCACGCGUUGCUGUGGCUUAUGGGAAUCAUUUGUUGACCAGGUGGAAUAGCCUUGCAGUCUCAAAGCCUGGCCGUUUUCUUCUUAUGCGAAUACUAUAUAUUGACCUCAGAUUCCAAAAAUCAGAUUUAUUUGGCUAUACACUGACGUCACGGGAGAAGUAAUGCUUUCAUGGAUGGCUAUUAAACAAGUUGUUUACUUUAAGUUCAGUUCAGGCAACAUUGUGUUAGAGUGAGAAGCUAAGCCUGACUUCUCUUGUUCAUGGUUCAAGUCAAGCUAUAAUUUUGGAUUUAAUAUAUCCUGGAAGUUUUCUAUGUUUCUGUUCAUGUAUUCCUGCUCAAGUCUUAUUAGUUAUAUCUUCCUGAAUCUGUGAUUUCCUGGCUGUUCUUGGACUGUCAUCUUUGGAAUGUUAUGAAACAUUUGGAUUAUUGUUUGGUUCUCACCUUUUACUAAACUUUUUUUGGAUUAUAUACCUUCCUUCCUGUAUGUAAUUUUCUAUUUGCUUUUUAUCUGUUUUUACAAUAAACUGUUUAUAUUCCUGGACUGGGUGUUUCCAGGCCUGGAGUACAACAGUAUUUGUUGUAAUAUUGUAUAACUAGCUUCGCCCGGCCACGCGUUGCUGUGGCUUAUGGGAAUCCUUUGUUGGCCAGGUGGAAUAGCAGUGAAUAGCCUUGCAGUUUCAAAGCCUGGCCGAUUUCUGGAGUAGCUGAAGCUUUUUGUUGUAUGAACGUAGAGGCAUGGAUUGUUGGUUGUGCUGCCAAGUUUAGUGUUUCUGGGAUGUGUAGUUUUGUUGUUUUGUCCUAGGCCGAAAUUUCAUUACCCUUUUAUAUAUAUAGAUAAUACAAUAUAUUGAUCUAGUACACUAUAGUAAUUUAAUGCCAGUAUUGUGCUAUGGUAAUAUAAUAUUGUAUGUAAAUUUAAUUUGUAAGUUGCUCUGAGUCCCCUUCGGGGUGAGAAGGGUGGGAUAUGAAUGUAGUUAGUAAAUAAAUAAAUAAAUAUUUGGCUAUACAUCAACCUCAGAUUCCUAAAAGCUGGAUUUGUGCGAUUGGUUCUCCAUCUCCUGAAAUGUAUUGGAAAGAAAUCCAAUUUAUGUGGCCAUUAAUCUACCUCCGAUUCCUAAAAUCAGAUUUAUUUGGCUAUAAAUCCUCCUCAAAUUCCUAAGAGCUGGAUCCAAAGGUCCAUACAUUUGGUUCUCUAUUCCUUGAAAGGUUUUGAAAAAAAAACUGAUAUAUUUGGCUAUAAAUCUAAUUCAGGUGCCUAACAGCUGGAUUCGAAGAUCUAUACCUUUGGUUCUCCAUCCCUUGAAGAAAAAUCUAAUAAUAUUACAAUAUAUUGAUAUAGUACAAUAUAGUAAUUUAUGGCCAGUACUAGCUGUGCCCAGCCACGCAUUGCUGUGGCGAAGUAUGGUGGUAUGGGAAAUAAAGUAUUGAGGAAUUGGUGGUAGUUAAGGUAAGGGGUACAUUAAGUCCAGUUGUGUCUGACUGCACACUGAAGUGGAUUAUAUGGCAGUGUGGAGUCAGGAUAAUUCAGUUCAAAGCAGAUAAUAUAAGAUUAUAAAUGGGUUAUAUAACUGUGUGGAAGGGCCUUCAGUCUACACUGCAAUAUAAUCCAGUUCAAAUCAGAUAAUCUGUAUUUUAUCAGCAGUGUGGAAGAGGCCUAAGUGAGGCUUAACUCUGCCUGUCCCCUGGGCUGCGUGGGUUGCUAGGAGACCAAGUGGGCGGAGCUUAGCCUUUGAACUGGCAGCAAUUGGAUAAAAACAAUUCUUCCUCUCCCUCUAAUUAGGACUUUAUUUUUCUUUUCUUUUUGUUGUAUGAACGUAGAGGCAUGGAUGAUGGGUUGUGCUGCCAAGUUGAGUGUUUCUGGGAUGUGUAGUUUUGUUGUUUUGUCCUAGGCCGAAAUUUCAUUACCCUUUUAUAUAUAUAAAUGGUACUACGCUAAUAAUGUAAUAUUGUAUGUAAAUUUAAUUUGUAAGCCGCUCUGAGUCCCCUUCGGGGUGAGAAGGGCGGGAUAUAAAUGUAAAUAAAUAAAUAAAUAAAAAUAAAAAUACCUUCUGGGCAUUUUGGAUAAAGACAUUUUUCACGAUAUUAAUAAAGAAAAAUUAAUCAUAUUUUUGUCAACGGCAGCAAGGAUGGUUUUUGCCAAGAUGUGGAAGUUAGAGAAGAUACCAGAUAGAGAAGACUGGUUAAAAAAGGUAUUGGAGAUAAAAGACAUGGACCAAUUAACAUACUAUUUGAAAAAAAAAAACACUGACAAGGGUAUAAAGAAGACGGACUGGUCGGUAGUGGAAGAGUAUAUGAAUUUAAAGUACAAUCCUUGAAGAAUCGAUAGAACUGAAGGAUUUUUUUUUUAAAAUAAACGGGAGAGAAGAUAAAAGAAGCAGAUCAAAAGAAACUCAUACAGGAACAAGGGCUGAACGGAAGUUCAAUUUGUUUUUGUUGUUUUUUUCUUAAUUUUUUUCCUGGUCUUUUACUCAUCUUUUUAAAACUUUCCUAUAAAUAUUGUUCCCCCUCUUUCAAUGUACAAGUAGUUUGAAAACCUUUAAUAAAAUCAUAAAAAAUAAUAAUAAUGUAAAUAAAUAAAUAAAUAAAUAAAUAAAGAUAAAAGAAGCAGAUCAAAAGAAACUCAUACAGAAACAAGGGCUGAACGGAAGUUCAAUUUGUUUAUUUUGGGGUUUUUUUUCUAAUUUUUUUUUCUGGUCUUUUACUCAUCUUUUUCAAACUUUCCUAUAAAUAUUGUUCCCCCUCUUUCGAUGUACAAGUAGUUUGAAAACCUUUAAUAAAAUUGUUUAAAAAAACAAAUAAUAAAAAUAAUGUAAAUAAAUAAGUAAAUAACUUAAAAAAAAUCAAAUUAUUUAGCCAUGAAUCUACCUCCGAUUCUUACAACCUC